rnacentral:rRNA from 1 species
UGGGUAGUCCGCACGAGCGCACCUUACUUUUAGUUGCCACCAUUUAGUUGGGCACUCUGAAAGAACUGCCAGUGAUAAGCUGGAGGAAGGUGGGGAUGACGUCAAGUCCUCAUGGCCCUUAUGUGUUGGGCUACACACGUGCUACAAUGGCAUUUACAAUAGGAAGCAAGAUGGCGACGUCAAGCAAAUCCUAAAAAAAUGCCUCAGUUCGGAUUGUACUCUGCAACUCGAGUACAUGAAGCUGGAAUUACUAGUAAUCGUGGAUCAGCGUGCCACGGUGAAUACGUUCCCGGGUCUUGUACACACCGCCCGUCACACCAUGGGAGUUGGUUCUACCUUAAGGCAAAGUUUAAAACCUUUGACCACGGUAUAGUCAGCGACUGGGGUGAAGUCGUAACAAGGUAGCCGUAGGGGAACCUGCGGCUGGAUUACCUCCUUUCU